rnacentral:rRNA from 1 species
CCGUGCCAGCAGCCGCGGUAAUACGGAGGGUGCGAGCGUUAAUCGGAAUUACUGGGCGUAAAGAGUGCGUAGGUGGUUGAAUAAGUUAUCUGUGAAAUUCCUGGGCUUAACCUAGGCAGGUCAGAUGAUACUGUAUGACUCGAGUAUGGGAGAGGGUAGUGGAAUUUCCGGUGUAGCGGUGAAAUGCGUAGAGAUCGGAAGGAACACCAGUGGCGAAGGCGGCUACCUGGCCUGAUACUGACACUGAGGCACGAAAGCGUGGGGAGCAAACAGGAUUAGAUACCCUGGUAGUCCACGCUGUAAACGAUGUCA